CAGAAUCCCUGCCAGCCAGAAGAGCUGAGAAACUGAGCUCCGCCCAUAGCUGGGUGCGUUCUUUGUGACCUCUGCUUACCUGUUAGUAAAAUAGAUGCACAUGCAAGGCGCACCUGCUGCCCAGGCCGUGCAUCUCUUCCAGGGUGACAGCCUGGUAAGAAAGCAGACUUACGCACACAGGAUGGAAGGCAGCAGCGAAAAGCCCAGUGUGUUCUGCGUGCUACCUAACAUAGACCCCGUGUGAAGUCCCUUCCUCUGUCCUGUGCCUGUUCCGUCCUCACCUUCUGGCAUUAAAUCCCGCA
rnacentral:lncRNA from 1 species